UGGUCAGCCCAAUUAACAUAGACUUGGUGGAUAUACAAGAAAGGUGGUGGACUGGAUUAAGAAGUCAGCCCAGGAAGAUACAACUCAGCAACCUGCUGAAGAGAGCUCCAACAAGGAAGGAGAGGUUGCUGCUCAUACGAGGAACGAAGAGGAAACACCUGCGCGUGGAGCUAGAGUGCACGUGAGAUCCAGCUGGCUGAGGGACUUCGUGAGCAUGGAGAAGCAUUAACCAAUUCUGGUGUAACCAAUUCUGUUAUGAUGUGUACUUUCAUUUCUUCUUGCAUACUUGUUAAGUAUAAAUAGACUUUGUAAUGGCUGGGAUAUAUUUUAUGUUAAAUGAGAAGCUAAAAAUCAUAGGGAGAUUGGUACUGUCUCGAAGAGUACAAUUCAAAGCUAAUAUUGGUGUUUUCAUUGUUCUUGAUCAUCAUGAAGAAUGAAGACAUUGAUGCCUUUCUUCAAUCCUUGGAGCUGAGUUUUAAACAAUAUUCUGAUGCUCAAUUGGAGUAGCAGUUCGAGAAAUUUUCUGCGUUGCUUGACCAGCAUGUGCCCAAGAUGGAGGAGCGUGUCGGACAAGGUUCGAUACCAGCUUUGCUAGACAUGGAAGGGAAGGGUAGCAUCACUCAAGAUACGAGACGUUCGCCAAGAAGGCGGUCAGAUUCCAAAAUGGACUGCCGCAAAUUGAACUCGAUUCUCAAAACCUUGGUGGAUUAUGCUAUGCGUUUGUUUGUGGUUGCAUUUCAUUUGGAUGGAGUCCCAUCUACAUGGUUCCAAUGGAUGGAGAAAUGAGGUGUUAUUUAGGACUGAGAAUCAUUUUUAAGAGCUCUGUAACAGCGAUUUGGAGCAUCUAUCUAUGAUGAUCCCUUGGGUCGAAUAUCGAAGCUCACUCAAACUAAGAGGGUCUCUCAAUACCAUGUCGAGUUUGAAGCUCUUAUGCCUCGAAUUACACGUGUUGCAUAAUUUAUGUUCUUAAACUUCUUUAUUUGGGGACUGAAAUUGGAAAUACGCAGGGAGCUGUUGAUGUCUAAACCACUAGACUUGGUUGAUGCUAUGGCUAAGGCCCAAUUUUUUGAGGAGCAUAAUGAUGAUUUGUCUCUUCGCCGAAAGCUAGAGAAUACUCGUUACAGGAUGGGUUGUUCGAUCGUCUGCUACUGCUAAAGGGAAUUCAGCAAUUCAGCUAUCUUCAACCAAACAGGAGUCAGUCUCAUUAAGUUCGGCUGGUUCGCAUCUGGGCUCUAUUUCAGAGGAGGAUGAAUUUGAGACAGGUGUUGAAAAUGAGCCUCAAGAAUUUGAAGAGGUUGUUGAAGAUGAAGUUAGCCUGUAAUCACUGUCAAACUCUUUGAAUCCACGAAUUUUUCGUAUCAUGGCAAAGCAUGGAGUUGAAUCUUUGGAAGUCCUCAUUGACACUGGCAGCAACAACAACUUCAUCCAAGAAUCCUUGGCUACCCGUUUGAACUUAUCUUGGGAGGACACCAAACAAUUCAAAUUCUACAUGGGUAAUGGUAAUUUUUUACUAUGUUCGAAGAUAUGUAAGGAAGUUGAAUUGAUAUUACAGGGGCAUCGCUUUGUUGUUGAUUUAUUCAUUGUAACGCCCUACUUCCUUAGAGCCGUUACUAAGUGAGUUUUUAAACGUGCAUUCAACUCGCUAAUCGAGGUUUUCAAGUCAAAAGUGUAAUUAAAUCAUAAACAGCGAAACAAAAUUUGAAAAUAAUUCCAUUUACUAUAAAUCAUUGAAUAGUUGACA